ensembl:lncRNA
AUGGCAGAGAGCAAAGACAUGCUGCGGGAGUCCCAGCUCUGUUCUGGCAGAGGUGGAUCCACUUCCAUCGGUUCCUCCACAUCUUCUGGUGGAUCCAGCUCCAUGGGCUCCACGGUGUUCAGCACAAGGCUAAGCCAGGCCUUGCCCGGGACUGCCCAAAAGGGAUGCCUUCCAUCCAGCAUGUUUUCAGGCCAGGGUGCNCAUCGGUUCCUCCACAUCUUCUGGUGGAUCCAGCUCCAUGGGCUCCACGGUGUUCAGCACAAGGCUAAGCCAGGCCUUGCCCGGGACUGCCCAAACGGGAUGCCUUCCGUCCGGCAUGUUUUCAGGCCAGGGUGCCGCACCAGGGGGCCGUCCUGUUGCACGCCUUGGUCCCAUGCCACUGUUGGGUUGAUUUUCAUGCAUGGGUCUGACGCUGUCAUCUGGUUUACAGCCGUGGCUGGGUCACGCAUUGUGUUGCGGACUAUAGGCAUGCCUCUGCUCCCCACAGCUGUCUUCAUGAGACUCAUGCCUUUGCCUCACACUGCUGUUGCGACUACGGUAAGGCCCAGGCCCCCUGUCGCUGUGUGUUUGAGGGGCCGGCCUGUUCCCCACAUCACUGCGGUGCCGAUGGUACCGCUUAUAUGUGUCUGGGCUUGCUCGAUUUGCAUGCCUCUGCUCCAUGUGGCUGUCUGGACGAUGCUCCUGCCUUUGCCCCAUGCCAUCGUUGUGACAAUUGUAAGGCCCAUGCCGCGAGUCGCUGUGUGGUUUACGGGAAGGACUGCGCACGGCUUGGAGUUGCCGAUGAUCGCACCGGUCCCUGCUGGGGACUGGCCUCACAGUAUGCCUUUGGUCAGGAGACUUUUCUGGCCGGGAUGCCGAACCACGGGGUCGUUCCCUUCCACACCUAGGUCCCAUGCCGUUGUGUGGUUGAUUUCUGUUCGUGGGUCCGACGCUGCCAUGCGGUUUACGGCCAUGCUUAGGUCCCACACUGUGUUGUGGGUUAUGGGCAUGCCUCUGCUCCAUGCAGCUCUCUGGACGAUGCUCCUGACUUUGCCCCACGUGACCGUUGCGCGAACUGUAAGGCCCAUGCUGCGAGUCACUGUCUGGUUUAGGGGAAGGACUGGGCACUGCUUGGAGUUGCCAAUGAUCAAGCCGGUCCCUGCCGGGGCCUGGCCACAUGGGAUGUCUUUGGUCCGGAAACUUUUCCGGCUGGGGUGCCGAACCAUGGAGUCGUCCACUUUCCCGCCUACGUCCUGUGCUGCAGUGCGGUUGAUUUCCAUUUGUGGGUCCAACGCCACCAUCUGGUUUCUGGCCAUGCCUGGGUCCCACACUGUGCUGCAUGCUAUGGGCACGCCUCUGCCCCAUGCGGCUGUGUGGCUGAUGGUCCUGCCUUCGCCUCACGCUGCCAUUUCGGCUAGGAGAAAGCCCAGGCCCCCUGUCACUGUGUGGUUGAGGGGCUGGCCUGUUCCCCGCAUUGUUGCAGUGCCAAUGGUACUGCUUAUAUGUAUCUGUGGGCUGCGUGCCAGAGGUCCUGUAGGCACUGGUGUCUUUUGUGCCGCAGGCGCUAUCUCUCCGCCCAUGACACGUCUCCUUCUCGUUAGGUGCAUUCCUGCUCGGUGCUUCCUUGGACUGCAUCGCUGUCCUCUCACACCGAGGAGGCCUGCCGCUCACCUUCCCGCUCCUGGACUUCUUCCCACCACACAAUCUGGCUGUCAGAGUGCCUAG